UAUUCUGCAAAGAAGGACAUCGUUGCCCUAUCCACCAAAUAAUCACUAAUUUCUCUUGCAGGAUUUUAUCAAAUUCAAAUAGUUAUGAAGUUUCUGAAUAAUUUAAGAGAUCCACAUUUAUAUUUGAUAUUGUGUAUAGUGGAAAAAGUGGUUGCUGACCUUUGGAGAAGAAUGUGAUGAAGUUGUCGAGGGAGAAGGAGUUGUUGACCUCAUAAUUGGUAUGUUAAAUUCGUGGACUGGCUAAUUGGCAUCGAAGGAUACAUUGUCUCAUCCAAGUUACCAAAGCCUAAUGCAAUUUAUUAAUAGAGUUUGUCACCGACUUGUCUCUUUCACCUCUAUAGGAUUAGUCUUCAACGAACUCCAACUAUCCAUAAGAGCUUGGUACUUUUCUUUUGCCCUUGAUUCCAUCUUUGUUUGACACCUGAUUGUUAAAUGUCCCAAUAUGAAGUUUAUAUGACUUUGUUUAUGCAACUUUAUGUUGGUCAGUUUUAGUUCUUUGAAUGAAGGUCUAGUGAAAUGCCUUAGUUGUGACUCUUGAGCCUAAACCAGUUCAAAAUCUUUG
rnacentral:lncRNA from 1 species